rnacentral:rRNA from 1 species
GACGGGGGGGGCAAGUGUUCUUCGGAAUGACUGGGCGUCAAGGGCACGUAGGCGGUGAAUCGGGUUGAAAGUGAAAGUCGCCAAAAAGUGGCGGAAUGCUCUCGAAACCAAUUCACUUGAGUGGGACAGAGGAGAGUGGAAUUUCGUGUGUAGGGGUGAAAUCCGUAGAUCUACGAAGGAAGGCCAAAAGCGAAGGCAGCUCUCUGGGUCACUACCGACGCUGGGGUGCGAAAGCAUGGGGAGCGAACAGG